UCCCGAUGUAUCCAGACCAUCGCCAAGUGUCAAAUAAACGAUAAAUAUGAGAUUUCACGAAAGGCGACGCGGCAAUGUUACUGAGCUUUAAUGACGAGCGGAAUCAGUUGUUGUUUAGCAGGGGAAGGGGAAGUACACGUCUCUUGUACUUCCUGGCCAAACCUUACUCAGUGAUUGUCAUAUCCUCGUUAAAACAUGGCCAUUAGUGUCGUUAAUCGCGUUGGGUAUUGCAAUUCAUCGUUAACACCGCGGAGUAGCUGCAGAAGGCGUUGUAGAGGGCCCAGCGCCCCCCCUACCUAGGCCUCCCAUAUAUAGACCUAUGAGCAGGUGAUUUCGACAUGCGCCAGCUUGGGGUCGCCCCGCGGGGUCCUCCGCCCCAAGGGAAUGACCAGGACAUGUGCCUCCCCCUGCCAGGCAUGGUGGGGCGGAGGUGGAGCACCGUCACACCAUGAUAACAGGUUUCCCCGUGACCCGCAUGCCGAUUUCAUUGACCAGCGGGGCGAGCAGUGCUUCUGAGAGCCCUCACCCCAGCCCCGAGAGCCGCGGGGUGACCCACUGGACUCAAGGUGGAGUGAGGGAACGCAACACCUCUGGCCCUCCCUGGCGAUGGCGGGCAAGACUAAGACCAAGAGUUCCCUGAGCAAGCCUGGCCUGAGGAACAUUGCCUUGGUGUGUGGGGUGACCUUUCUCAUGACCCAGGAUGACCUGACAUGGCGGACACUAUGGUGUGUGUUGAUGCUGGGGCCAAGGAGAAGAAGAGGAGGAGAAGGAUGAUGAUGAUAGAGGCAAUAUGAAGAAAAGAAAAAAAGGAAGAAGAAUGGAGGAGGAGGAGGAGGAAGAAACACACACACACACGACAAACGCCUAUUUUUUUAUAUUAUCCGUUUUUAUUAGUCCAUAUAACAUUCAUUAUAUACAUAUACAACAUAUGCAUAAUUCUAUACAUUAGAUCAUAGAGAGUGAGAGACUUGGGAGGUGAGAAAGAGAGGUGCCCCCCCUCUCUCUCUCUCU